GAUGAACGCUGGCGGCGUGCCUAAUACAUGCAAGUCGAGCGAACAGACGAGGAGCUUGCUCCUCUGACGUUAGCGGCGGACGGGUGAGUAACACGUGGAUAACCUACCUAUAAGACUGGGAUAACUUCGGGAAACCGGAGCUAAUACCGGAUAAUAUAUUUAAACGCAUGGUUCAAUAGUGAAAGACGGUUUUGCUGUCCCUAAUAGAUGGAUCCGCGCCUCAUUAGCUAGUUGGUAAGGUAACGGCUUACCAAGGCAACGAUGCGUAGCCGCCCUGAGGGGUUGAUCGGCCACACUGGAACUGAGACACGGUCCAGACUCCUACGGGAGCCAGCAGUAGGGAAUCUUCCGCAAUGGGCGAAAUCCUGACGGAGCAACGCCGCGUGAGUGAUGAAGUUCUUCGGAUCUUAAAACUCUGUUAUUAGGGAAGAACAAAUGUGUAAGUAACUAUGCACGUCUUGACGGUACCUAAUCAGAAAGCCACGGCUAACUACGUG
rnacentral:rRNA from 1 species